rnacentral:SRP_RNA from 1 species
GCCCAGCGCGGUGGUGCGCGCCUGUAGUCCCAGCUACUCGGGAGGCUGAGGCAGGAGGAUCGCUUGAGCCCAGGAGUUCUGGGCUGUAGUGCGCUAUGCCGAUCGCGUGUCUGCAUUAAGUUCGGCAUCAAUAUGGUGACCUCCCAGGAGCGGGGGACCACCAGGUUGCCUAAGGAGGGGUGAACCGAUCCAGGUCGGAACCGGAGCAGGCCAGCUGAGGUUUAAAGGAGGGGAAUCGAUGAAGUUCUAGAUGAACGGAUGAAGUUCUAGAACUGAUGAAGUUCGAGAACCUACGUGA